GGUGUCCGCUUUGUGAGGUGGCGUGUGGGUGGUUGUCCUCGUGGGAGUUGAGCGAACGUCAUCAUGAGGGUAAUUCUUUCUUCAAUCUGCCUUUCCGCUUGUUGUAAAGCCUUCUCUUGAUUAAAAGUGUUUCUCUGAUCUUUUAGCCGUGUAUUAAAGCUGAAAGAGGUCAAAUAAACGAUAGCGGUGAGUGAAGCAAGCUGAACCUCUCUGGGAGCUAUUUUGUGGCUGCGAGCUGAUUCCUACAACGCCGCGAGUCCGCCCGCCAAGGAAUGCUCUAUGUUUGUGUUGCCGUCAAGCUCCUUUGAUAUGAAUGUGCUUUAUGUCAUCCUGUUCGUCAAGUAUUUCCUAUAACUCGUGGGUAGCUUCCUUUAUUGAUCAUGUGGUGCUGAGUUGCGCUUUUCGUCAAUUCGCGGUGUUGUGUUUCCGAUGCCAGUAUUCUCAAACAUUUCGGAACUCACACACCACAUUUGGGGAGGCUUUGGCAGAUGUUGUGUCACUAUUUCCAUGGGUAGUUUCAUGAGUCUGGUGGUAGUUUGAUAAGGCUUCUGCACUAUAAACGCCAAGAACCCCACUAUAGUCUUCCAAAUAUGUCGAGCCAACGCCAAAACGGACUCGACAAUUAGGUUUCACUAUAAUCGCCUUCGUCGCCUUGUUGUGAGAGCCGAAAGCGUCUGAGAUUACCGACCACUUCUAUUGUACGUCUGUGUCCGGUAGCAGAUUUAAGUGGUUGUUUUGCAGUCCUUUUAGUUCUAGCUCUUUUCUUUCUUUUUAGUUCGUGAAGCCAUGUGUGUCGGCAAAGGUGUGUCGUAUAGUAUAAUUAGUAUAUUUGCCUUUACUGAAUAGAGUUUGAAUCGCUCUACAAAGUGUCAGAAUCUCCUUGUAGGUGUGAGAGCUGCUUACACUUUUACUUUAUCACUCAAGUGCUUAACAAAUGGUCAGGUCAAAGGAUGUCACUCUUUAGCCUAUACGUGACACUGUUUCUGGUGGGCGAUGGCAUUCCCAUUAAGUUCAACCAGGGAAGGAUAUGUUUGUAUUGAUCUUCCAAGCUUUCAAAAUUGUUUAAUCUGGUGCCUUGAUUCCCUUUAUUCCCUUUGUACCAAGGCAUCGGGGUUCACAAGGGCUGCCAACAGGUUAUUGGUCCCCACAAGUAAUCCCUGGGUGGGCCGUUUUGCCCUCCUCCAUCACUCUGUAAGCAGCGAGGGCUCUCAUCUGCCUGGAUCCCGGCCAAGUGCAGCCUCGACAUUCUCAAGGGAUAGACACGGACCACACCAAGGGUUCUCUCCACACUCCUUGCCCUGCACCAAGUUCCUCUCGCAGUGUUUUCAAGAUUCACUUAUCCAAGUUUUCCUUCUAACCCUUUUCCUUCGCCUUCCAGCGCCAAAACUCUUUAUGUGUACCUAUGUGUAGUAUUUUCUCCUCAACCAAAGCAAACCCAAAGACAACUGGCUCUCAAGUGUAAAUUAUUUAUAUUUUUCUUAAUUUAUUCUUUAGUACACAAACUCCCAAAUGUUGCAAGGUUGGGAGUUCCGAUGUAGCAGAUAGCAAGUAAAACGCAGUCGAGCUGACUUGUAGUACUGGCAUCCUGAGAAUAUGGGAACAGACACUCUCAUGAUGGUGGUGUGAAGGGAGAAGCAGAGGCCCCGAGGCCCGAGUCAGUUUGGCUGCGAGAGUGCCGGGGAACACAAUUCUCCCACUCGUAGGCUACCGCUUACCUGUAUUGUUAUCACUGACAUAUCUUAUACCACGUGUCACUGUAUAGGUAUAGCAUGCUUAUUGACUUCCUUUGUAAUGUGUGGUAUUAAUAGGUUGAUACACUUAAUUAAAUGUCACUGUACGGGAGGCAGCUAGACUGUGACCUCCGUGACCCAGGUGAUAAGGGAAUGUAGUAAACAACCUCCCGUGAGCCGGGGGUCAUAUUAUACCCAGCUAGCGGCCAUGUUCCUAUUCCUUUGCAUUUGUGGUCGAUCUUGUAUGCGAUCACAGUUAUUGCGAUGCCCACUGUAGUAUUUGCAUCGUGAUGUUUGUAUUUGUAAAGGACUAGGAACAAGACCGAGGAUGUGGCCACGGCUGAGACAAGACAUGCAUCGUGAUGUUUGCAUUUGUAAAGGACUAGGAAUAAGACCAAGGAUGUGGCCACGGCUGAGACAAGACAUGCAUCGUGGUGUUUGCAUUUGUAAAGGACUAGGAACAAGGCCGAAGAUGUGGCCACGGCUGAGACAAGACAUGCAUCGUGGUGUUUGCAUUUGUAAAGGACUAGGAACAAGGCCGAAGAUGUGGCCACGGCUGAGACAAGACAUGCAUGCUUGUCUCCGCUGCCCCUGCCCGCUUCUGUGAGCCUUGUGCCGUGUCUGUGCCCCAGCAGAGUCUGGAGUUACUGUGCUUGUAAACUAGUGGUUGUACGUGGUUAGAGCUGUGGAUUAAAGUGGAAAAGCUAG